UACGUAGGGUGCGAGCGUUAAUCGGAAUUACUGGGCGUAAAGCGUGCGCAGGCGGUUCGUUGUGUCGGCGGUGAAAUCCCCGGGCUCAACCUGGGAAUGGCCGUUGAAACUGGCGAACUGGAGUGUGGCAGAGGGGGGGUGGAAUUCCGCGUGUAGCAGUGAAAUGCGUAGAUAUUGGGAGGAACACCAGUGGCGAAGGCGGCUCACUGGACCGGUACUGACGCUGAUGCGCGAAAGCGUGGGGAGCAAACGGG
rnacentral:rRNA from 1 species